ACAAUAACGAGGCUAUAAGCUAAAUCAUGCAAAUAUAACUUGUCUGUAUAUCUUAUAUACUGUAUAUAACCAGUAUAAAAGAGUUCUAACAGGACUGCCCUGGGGGAGCUCACUUCAGACCAGUACUUUAUUCAUCUAAGUUUGACUGUGACCUCUCCAGCUUGCUGUUGGGAAGUUCCCAUCUGACCAAAAGACGACAAGGACCCGCCCAGACCCUUACUGUGAGCUGCCCAGGAGGAGACGCAUCAUCCAUGAACAAUUGAGUGAGACGACAACUGAAUUUCAGACCUGAGCAUUAGGAACAUGCCUCAGGACUACCUGGCCUGAUGACUCCUUGCCGUCCCCAGUGCACCUGGCCAUGCUGCUGCUCCAGUUUCAACUGUUCUGCCUGCGGCUAUGGAACCCUGACCUGUUCACUGGACGUGCUACCUACAGACCUCCUGUUUUCAACUCUCUAGAGACAGCAGGAGUGGUAGAGAUACUCUGAAUGAUCGUCUAUGAAAAGCCAACUGACAUUUACUCCUGAGGUGCUGACCUGUUGCACCCUCGACAACCACUGUAAUUAUUAUUAUUUGACCCUGCUGGUCAUCUAUGAACAUUUGAACAUCUUGGCCAUGUUCUGUUAUAAUCUCCACCCGACACAGCCAGAAGAGGACUGGCCAGCCCUCUUAGCCUGGUUCCUCUCUAGGUUUUGGCCUUUCUAGGGAGUUUUUCCUAGCCACCGUGCUUCUACACCUGCAUUGCUUGCUGUUUGGGGUUUUAAGCUGGGUUUCUGUACAGCACUUUGAGAUAUCAGCUGAUGUAAGAAGGGCUUUAUAAAUACAUUUGAUUUGAUCCAAGUACCAAAUAUUGAGCUGAUAAGCCAGCACCAACCUUUUGAAGGUCGUAGCAGAUUUGUUAAACAACAGGUUUCAUAUUUUCACUAGUUGAUGUCAUCGUCAGUUCAGAUCAUAUGUCAAUGCAACAGGUCAAAAUGAAUGGUGUCCAUUCAGCUUAACAGGACACCGUAUCAUCUGAUGUGUCUGAAGUUCUGUAUACGCAUGGAUUUAUCAAGACUUCCUGCCCAAGAUGCAGUAAACUCGAUUAAGAAUGUUUAGGACUGAUUAAGAUAUGCAAACUAAGUACAUGUUCAUUUUCUUUCUUCCAGGACUUAUGGAACGUCCAAUAACAAGUUCUGAUGAGUAUACCAAUGAUUCUGUAUCCCUCCCUUUGAAAUGCUUUCUGAGGAAGGUGCCUUGGGAGAAGUUUGUAUAAAAAGGUACACAAAUAUGUCUAAGGGAGCUCCCAUAUUAAUUAAGGCCUGGCCAUUAUGUUCGUUUUUACCCUACAUUUUUACCACAAACGCCAGUACCCACACACAAUCCACCUGUUAUUGAAUAUUUGUUAGUGGUGUUAAUACUGAUUUAUUGUGUGGGGUCUUUUUAUUUUAGUGGUUUUUCACAGGUUAGAAAGGAUGCACCUUAAAAGGGCACACAAAUGUCAUUUUCUGAAGUUCUAUUGUCAGAGUUUGUUGCACACACGUCAGUUCUCCUGAUAAGAAAUAUACUGAAAAACCCAAUGUGAACAUGGUAUACAAAAUGUUUGAAAUGUUUGAAAUAUCUUUCAAUUAUGAGGGAAAGAAACACUAACUUAAUGUGUUGAAUGACCUCUGUUCUGACUUUCUGUUGAGGCCUGAUCACCCUCACUAGAAAGGCUAGAGACAUUGGGUGACAUUUAAUUGCAAUAUGUAAACACUGAUAAUUAGGAUUACAUUUAUAAUUUAACAGUCCUGUGUGAUUCGAACCGCGAGAGAAAGAGAGAGAGAGAGAGAUGCCCCUGAAUGAGGGAAACCUGUCUCUAGUCUAUUUUAUGGGAAACAAUGGUUUUCCUUAUAGAGUUAAACAGUUGUAAUUAAAAUGUUAUUUGUUAUUUUGAUUUAACCCUUUCCUGUAGUUUUUUUUUUCUUUUUACAUAUGAAUCCCAAUGUGAGUCAUGUGUCUAAAGGGAAGAAGUGUAUUGUUGUUUUGUUUUUGUCUUGUUUCAAUACAAAUCUCACCAGAUUUGGUCUGCUGGAUGGUCGGGAUUAGCCCUCUAACUCGCUGACUCUGUAACUGCGGUGAGAUCGCCGAUAUGAUGGGGGAGUAUAAACCAAUUUGAAAAAUU